AUGGAGCAGUUCCAUGACGGCCACCACGUGCGGCUGCGCAGCAGCCAGCUUGGCACGUACCUGCACGCCGACGACAACGGGGUUGGCGUCUCACUCCACCACCGCCGGGCGUCGAUGAACGCCGCGUGGGCGGUGCACUUGCACCAUGACGAGACGUGGGAGGAUGACUAUCUUCUCCUCUACAGCGCCGCCUACGGGCGCUACCUCGUCGCCACGGACACGCCGGCGCCGGGAGGCGGCCGCCGCGUCGUGCAGCGCAAGUACGACCAUCCGGAGUUCGAGGCAAUGUUUUGGUAUGCUGCCCUGUCAGAAUCCGGGGACGAAGUCUGCCUCCACCACUUCCACGGCGGCAGCCUCCGUGCCAACACGAGGUACUCGUACCCACGCUGGAACAUCGGCGUCAGCGUCCACGACACCGGAAACGUCACCACGACGAUGCACUGGGUCGUGGAGCACAUCCCCGCCAGGGAGGCAUGCCUCCCCUUCCAGUUCCCUUCGCCGCCGCCAUGUGGGAGUGGCGGCUGA
rnacentral:rRNA from 1 species